rnacentral:rRNA from 1 species
UACGUAGGGAGCAAGCGUUGUCCGGAAUCAUUGGGCGUAAAGAGCGCGUAGGUGGCUUUAUAAGUCCGCUGUGAAAGUCCAGGGCUCAACCCUGGGAUGCCGGUGGAUACUGUCGGGCUCGAGUCCGGAAGAGGAGUGUGGAAUUCCUGGUGUAGCGGUGAAAUGCGCAGAUAUCAGGAGGAACACCAAUGGCGAAGGCAGCACUCUGGGACGUGACUGACGCUGAGACGCGAAAGCGUGGGGAGCAAACAGG